rnacentral:rRNA from 1 species
AGUGGGGAAUAUUGCGCAAUGGGCGGAAGCCUGACGCAGCGACGCCGCGUGAGGGAUGACGGCCUUCGGGUUGUAAACCUCUUUCAGCAGGGACGAAUUUGACGGUACCUGUAGAAGAAGCACCGGCCAACUACGUGCCAGCAGCCGCGGUAAUACGUAGGGUGCGAGCGUUGUCCGGAAUUAUUGGGCGUAAAGAGCUCGUAGGCGGUCUGUCGCGUCGAAUGUGAAAACCCGGGGCUCAACUCCGGGCUUGCAUUCGAUACGGGCAGGCUAGAGUUCGGUAGGGGAGUCUGGAAUUCCUGGUGUAGCGGUGAAAUGCGCAGAUAUCAGGAGGAACACCGGUGGCGAAGGCGGGACUCUGGGCCGAUACUGACGCUGAGGAGCGAAAGCGUGGGGAGCGAACAAGAUUAGAUACCCUGGUAGUCCACGCCGUAAACGUUGGGCGCUAGGUGUGGGGGUCCUUCCACGACCUCCGUGCCGCAGCUAACGCAUUAAGCGCCCCGCCUGGGGAGUACGGCCGCAAGGCUAAAACUCAAAGGAAUUGACGGGGGCCCGCACAAGCGGCGGAGCAUGCGGAUUAAUUCGAUGCAACGCGAAGAACCUUACCAAGGCUUGACAUGCACGGGAAAGUUCCAGAGAUGGUUCCCCCGUAAGGUCCGUGCACAGGUGGUGCAUGGUUGUCGUCAGCUCGUGUCGUGAGAUGUUGGGUUAAGUCCCGCAACGAGCGCAACCCUUGUCUCAUGUUGCCAGCAAUUCGGUUGGGGACUCAUGAGAGACUGCCGGGGUCAACUCGGAGGAAGGUGGGGAUGACGUCAAAUCAUCAUGCCCCUUAUGUCUUGGGCUUCACGCAUGCUACAAUGGCCGGUACAAAGGGCUGCGAAACCGUGAGGUGGAGCGAAUCCCAAAAAGCCGGUCUCAGUUCGGAUUGGGGUCUGCAACUCGACCCCAUGAAGUCGGAGUCGCUAGUAAUCGCAGAUCAGCAACGCUGCGGUGAAUACGUUCCCGGGCCUUGUACACACCGCCCGUCACGUCACGAAAGUCGGUAACACCCGAAGCCAGUGGCUCAACCCCCUUGUGGGGAGGGAGCUGUCGAAGGUGGGAUCGGCGAUUGGGACG